rnacentral:misc_RNA from 1 species
AAUUCUUCUACCAGCUCCAAAUGGUAUUAAUUGCGGAGUUUGUCCUUUCACAUCAAAACUCUUUGCAUUUGUCAAAAACCUCUCUGGACGAAAUUCUCUAGGGCUCUCCCAAACAUUUGGAUCUCUUUGGAGUUUAUACAGAUUCACCCAUAAUCGUGUGCCUGUUGGAAUGUGAUACCCAGCCACAGUACAGUCUUCUAUAGAUUCAUGAGGGACAGAGAGUUGUGCUGCAGGAUAUAGACGCAACGUUUCCUUCACAACUGCUUGGAGAUAUAUCAAAUUUUUCAUGUCCGACUCUCUCACUUCCCUUUCUCUUCCAACUUGUUCAUCUAAUUCAAAUUGGACUUUCUUGAGUGUUUCUUCAUUAUUAACGAGUAAUGAUAGAGCCCAUACCAUUUCUGUUGUGGUGGUAUGAAAUCCACCUAAUAUCAAAGCCAAACAUGUAGAUUUGAUGACGGUAUCAACAUCGUAGUCAGAAAAAUCCUCAUCCUUGGAUAUAGACAACAUGAUGUGCAUUAGAUCUUGCUCUUCCAUCCCCACACCACCGGAAUUCCUCCUCUCCCGAUGCUCUCUAAGCCAUCUAUCAAGCAUCUCGUCCAUGACCUUUGCCGUCUUCUUCAUGGCCUUCUUGUACCCUCCAAAGUCAAACCAUCUUAGAAAUGGAAACAAAUCUGAUGGAACAAACACUAUAAACAAAUUAAAAAAAUCCUUCAACGCAUUCUGAUACUCUUCCCCACCAUUUCCUUCAAAAGCAUUUGAGAAUCGCUUUCCAACCACCAUCCUAAAUAUGGUGUUCAGUGUUAUAUCACCAAACCACGUCUCCAUCUCUACCAACGCUUUCUUGUUGGAUUUGCAUAACUCAUAUAGUUUGUCAAUCGAAUUCUGAACCUCCGAUCUCGGGAUGUGUUGGAGCUUCUCAAGGCGGUAGUUAGUGAGGAGUUCGACCGUGGCUAUUUUACGCACAUGGCGCCAAUGAGAACCAUAUGGGCUAGUCCCAAACAUGGCAUAGUUAUAGCCAAGAAGCUUAGCAGCAGCAAAUUUGGGGCGAGAUGCAAAUUUUUUGUCGUUGGUAGUAAAGCAUUCCUUUGCUAUUUCCCAACCGCUUACAAUCAAGGUUUUGUUGGUACCUAAUCUUAGCAUAAAGAUUGGUCCAUAAGCAUCUGCCAAUUUCGCCAAGGUAUUGUGAAUGAGUUCCUUUCCGGUGAGAAGAGGGAGGUGGCCGAUGACUGGCCAAGCACCGCGGGGUUGGGGCGGUAGUCUCUUACGACGAGCGCCAAAUGAAGUGAAGAGAGCAUAAAGAAAGAAGAGAAGGGUGAAGAAUAUCCCAGGUAGAGCUAUGUUGGAUGAGGCUUCCAUUUUGGUAAAGGGAACUAUUGGUGGUUGUGUUUUGAGAUGAACACUAUGAAUGAUUUGUUUGUACACAGGGUUGAAGUGGAUUGAA